rnacentral:lncRNA from 1 species
AUUUUCAGUUUAGUAGUUCAGAAUCUGAUACUUCUCGCCGGAGUCCUUCUGAAUGUCCGUUUGCUCUCAAAUUUGAUAGUCAGGCUCGGUUAAAAUUAAUAAGAAGAACGAAACCUUAAUCUUUAAGUUUGGACCAUUUUUGGUCACCAAAAACUCUACCGACUAAAAUCGUUAGCAAAUAACAGUCAGAUUUUAUUUUUCACUUUUCAGGUGUCUGAAUGACAUGAAACUUUAAAUCUAGCCUCAUAAAAAUAAUUCCGACAUAUUCUCAAAUUUUCAUAACUUUCCGACACUAUGAAUUGUCUGCUAAAAGAUCAGCCCCGUUUCUUACAGAAAAUUUUAAAUCUUCUUUUUCCGUUCCAAUUUCAGCACAAGUCAUUUUCGACUUCUUUAAGUCCAAUAAAAAUAGUAUCUUACACUAUUUUUAUUUAUACUUACUUUUAUAUUAAAAAUCUUGUACAUUACACCGGAUGUGGCGCGAAGUGAUCAAGACAAGGAGGAGUACUUUGUUCGGGGGCUCCGUGUCACGCCCCAAGACCCGGCCUAGGCCCGCCCGGUGCGUGUCCAGACCUGCCAUAUGCCUACACAUAUAAGGCGUCUACAACGAUUGCGAAUUAAAGAACAAUAAAUAGAGAAUAUCUAGAGAUAUCAGAGCAAUUAUACAGCUAGGUUCUAUCAACCAGAAGAAACCACAGAAGCUAGACUACUAAAGUAAAAAGUAAAGUAGUACAUCAUAAGUCUCAAAAUACAAAUAGUGGGUGGUCUCUACGAAAUGGUACAAGUCUCUCAACCUCUCCAAAAAAAACAAAAGAGAGGUAGACCACCGAUCCACCAAUCUCUCGCUAGCUAACUCGAGGCGAUUCCUUUCCCGCGAUCCCAAGCCUCUCCUGGGGUGGAAGGCUCUGAAUGAAAACAUAAAACAGGGGGAAGUGAGAACUAUAAUUUAUAGUUCCCAGUGGGCAAUUACUGACCAUAGCCAAAUGCACCACUAGGCCCAAAAGCAUAGGUAGAUAAAGGAACUACUAGUAAACUGCAAAUAGGAAAAGCAUGUAAUGAAAUGCUAAUCUACAAUGCCACAAUAUCACAUGAUGUCAACGUAGUGUACAUCUACCCCAUCAUAAUCCAAUAUACCAAUACAUGAUUAAUAUGCUUUAUCAUGACCACCAAGUAUACUAUUAUGCGAAAACAAUAGUACAUGUCCUAAUGUCCACUACUAUGCUAAAAGCAUGUUCAAGUAAACCAACUACUAAGUCUAUCUAGUAGUGAUUGUCAUACACCGGUUUAAUGUCAUUGUUCAAUCUUGUUUUAGGACCUACACAAGUGUAGUCCGGCUUGUGCCGCCUAAGUGCCAGUGGUAGCUCCAGCAUUCCCCCUCGAGGAAUGAGUCUAACCCUCCAGGCCCCCGUAGGCUUCUCAAUACCGCACGAGCGAGCAAGCAUAGUCAUCGUCACAACGAUUCGGCCAUCAUGGCUCAACCAUAGAAAUGAUCGCUAGCAACUCAUAGGUCUAGUUUAACAUCCCCAAGUGAAGUUCCAACAUUCACCAUGUCUAGUGCCUCUUUAGGGUACUAGAAUAUUACUAUAUCCAAGCAUGUUCCAAUUUUCAUGCCUCUUUAUGGCAUUAUUUACUAGGUUCAUACAUGUCCUAAGCUCAAUGUCGCUUUAUAACAUUAGCUUACCCUAUUAGUAAUAGGUUAAUACGCAUGCUCUCUAGUAUGAUCUCAUAUUGCUAAUAUGUACCUAGCAUGUAUUCCACAAUGCAUAUAAAUAUUAACAUGCAUCUAUCCACUAGCAUAUGGUUUCAAUGUGUCCGUAUGCAACUAUCAACUUAGCAUAGUUCUCAUAAUGCUACAUGCAUACACUUUCCAAUGCAACUACCAACUUAGCAUAAUUCUCAUAAUAUUAACAUGCACAUGCAAUUCACAUAUCAUUCAAGUCUAAUGCCUCUCUAUGGCUUUACUUUGCUAGGCUCAUUCAUAGCUCAAGCCCGAUGUCGCAUUACGACAUUAGCUUCCUAACUCACAAGUUAUUCAAAUCCAAAGCCACUUUAUGGCCUAAUGCAUUCUCCUAUGUCCAAUGAACUUUAUGUCCAAGACAUAUUACAUUUGUAAUGUCUACUAUAUGAAGCAUGAUUCCAAGUCCCAAAUAGAAUGCUAAACCCAUGCAUAAGUCUCACUUGCAAGCUCUCUACUACAUAGAGGUCCGAAAAUGCAUUGUAUAUAACAUAAGCAUUUCAAGCAUUCUAAAAUUCACAAAUAAUGCGUCUAUCAUGAAAAUGCGUGAUUUUCCAUUUUACGAUACUUAAAUCCACAUAAAUGAGAUUUUCUCAUUUGUAGCGAGGUCAAACCCAC